CAGCCGCCACGGUAAUACAGAGGGUGCAAGCGUUAAUCGGAAUUACUGGGCGUAAAGCGCGCGUAGGUGGUUCGCCAAGUUGGAUGUGAAAUCCCCGGGCUCAACCUGGGAACUGCAUCCAAAACUGGCGAGCUAGAGUAUGGUAGAGGGUGGUGGAAUUUCCUGUGUAGCGGUGAAAUGCGUAGAGAUCGGGAGGAACAUCAGUGGCGAAGGCGGCCAUCUGGGACAACACUGACGCUGAGGCACGAAAGCGUGGGGAGCAAACAGGAUUAGAUACCCGUGUAGUCCCUGUCUCUUAUAC
rnacentral:rRNA from 1 species